AUACGAGGGGUGCAAGCGUUAAUCGGAAUUACUGGGCGUAAAGCGUUCGUAGGCGGUUUGUUAAGCAAGAUGUGAAAGCCCAGGGCUCAACCUUGGAACUGCAUUUUGAACUGGCAGACUUGAGUAUUGUAGAGGGUGGUGGAAUUUCCAGUGUAGCGGUGAAAUGCGUAGAGAUUGGAAGGAACAUCAGUGGCGAAGGCGGCCACCUGGACAAAUACUGACGCUAAGGAACGAAAGCGUGGGGAGCAAACAGGAUUAGAAACCCCGGUAGUCC
rnacentral:rRNA from 1 species